rnacentral:rRNA from 1 species
AGAGUGAACGCUGGCGGUAGGCCUAACACAUGCAAGUCGAACGGCAGCACAGUGGUAGCAAUACCAUGGGUGGCGAGUGGCGGACGGGUGAGGAAUACAUCGGAAUCUACCUUUUCGUGGGGGAUAACGUAGGGAAACUUACGCUAAUACCGCAUACGCCCUUUGGGGGAAAGCCGGGGAUCGCAAGACCUGGCGCGGAUAGAUGAGCCGAUGUCGGAUUAGCUAGUUGGUGAGGUAAUGGCUCACCGAAGGCGACGAUCCGUAGCUGGUCUGAGAGGAUGAUCAGCCACACUGGAACUGAGACACGGUCCAGACUCCGUACGGGAGCAGCGAGGUAGGGAAUUAGUUGGAACAAGUGGGGCCACAAGCCUAGGACUCCAGCCAUACCGGCGU